GACGAACGCUGGCGGCGUGCUUAACACAUGCAAGUCGAACGGUGAAGCGAGUGCUUGCACUCGUGGAUCAGUGGCGAACGGGUGAGUAACACGUGAGUAACCUGCCCAUCACUCUGGGAUAAGCACUGGAAACGGUGUCUAAUACUGGAUACGACCAACCCUUGCAUGGGGUGUUGGUGGAAAGAUUUAUCGGUGAUGGAUGGACCCGCGGCCUAUCAGCUUGUUGGCGGGGUAAUGGCCCACCAAGGCGACGACGGGUAGCCGGCCUGAGAGGGUGACCGGCCACACUGGGACUGAGACAGGGCCCAGACUCCUACGGGAGGCAGCGGUGGGGAAUAUUGCACAAUGGGCGAGAGCCUGAUGCGGCGACGCCGGGUGAGGGAUGACGGCCUUCGGGUUGUAAACCUCUUUCAGCAGGGAAGAAGCGAAAGUGACGGUACCUGCAGAAGAAGCACCGGCUAACUACGUG
rnacentral:rRNA from 1 species